GCCUGGGUGGCUCAGUCGGUUGAGCACCUGACUCUUGAUUUCAGGCGGGGUCAUGAUCUCGGGGUCGGGGGAUCAAGCCCCUCAUCUGGCU
rnacentral:tRNA from 1 species